UCUACACCUAAAAAUAAUCUUAAUCCAACAUCGAGGUCGCAAUCUUUUUUAUCGAUAUGUUCUCUCUAAAAAUAUUACGCUGUUAUCCCUUAAGUAACUUAAUCUUUUAAUCAUUAAUAAUGGAUCAAAUCAUAAAUUUAUGAAAAAAAGUUUAUUAAAUUUUCCUAUCACCCCAAUAAAAUAUUAUAUNAAGCUUUAAAGGGUCUUCUCGUCCUCUAAUUAUAUUUAAGCUUUUUAACUUAAAAAUUAAUUUCUAUAACAAUUAAAAUAAGACAGUUAAUAUUUCAUCCAAUCAUUCAUUCCAGCUUCUAAUUAAGAAACUAUUGAUUAUGCUACCUUUGCACAGUCAAAAUACCGCGGCCUU
rnacentral:rRNA from 1 species